UCAGACUCACACUGCCUCACCACAUACGCU
rnacentral:piRNA from 1 species